rnacentral:rRNA from 1 species
CCUACGGGAGGCAGCAGUGAGGAAUAUUGGUCAAUGGACGAGAGUCUGAACCAGCCAAGUAGCGUGAAGGAUGACUGCCCUAUGGGUUGUAAACUUCUUUUAUAAAGGAAUAAAACGAGGCACGUGUGCCUUUUUGCAUGUACUUUAUGAAUAAGGAUCGGCUAACUCCGUGCCAGCAGCCGCGGUAAUACGGAGGAUCCGAGCGUUAUCCGGAUUUAUUGGGGUUAAAGGGAGCGUAGAUGGGUUUUUAAGUCAGUUGUUAAAGUUUGCGGCUCAACCGUAAAAGUGCAAUUGAUACUGGCAGUCUUGAGUACAGUUGAGGUAGGCGGAAUUCGUGGUGUAGCGGUGAAAUGCUUAGAUAUCACGAAGAACCCCGAUUGCGAAGGCAGCUUACUAAACUGUGACUGACAUUGAUGCUCGAAAGUGUGGGUAUCAAACAGGAUUAGAUACCCCAGUAGUC